AAGAAAUCUCAUCUAUGGUGCUUAUAAAGAUGAAGGAAAUUGCUGAGGCUUUCCUUGGAUCAACUGUAAAGAAUGCUGUGGUAACCGUACCUGCAUACUUCAAUGACUCGCAUCGUCAGGCUACUAAGGAUGCUGGCGUCAUUGCUGGUCUAAAUGUCAUACGUAUUAUCAAUGAGCCUACGGCUGCUGCCAUUGCUUAUGGCCUGG
rnacentral:misc_RNA from 1 species